rnacentral:rRNA from 1 species
AGUCAUUGUAGCAAUACAAGGCAUACGGCUCAGUAACGCGUAGUCAACCUAACCUAUGGACGGGAAUAACCUCGGGAAACUGAGAAUAAUGCCCGAUAGAACAUUAUACCUGGAAUGGUUUAUGUUCCAAAUGAUUUAUCGCCGUAGGAUGGGACUGCGGCCUAUCAGUUUGUUGGUGAGGUAAUGGCCCACCAAGACUAUUACAGGUACGGGCUCUGAGAGGAGUAGCCCGGAGAUGGGUACUGAGACACGGACCCAGGCCCUAUGGGGCGCAGCAGGCGAGAAAACUUUGCAAUGUGCGAAAGCACGACAAGGUUAAUCCGAGUGAUUUCUGCUAAAGAAAUCUUUUGUUAGUCCUAGAAACACUAACGAAUAAGGGGUGGGCAAGUUCUGGUGUCAGCCGCCGCGGUAAAACCAGCACCUCAAGUGGUCAGGAUGAUUAUUGGGCCUAAAGCAUCCGUAGCCGGCUCUGUAAGUUUUCGGUUAAAUCUGUACGCUUAACGUACAGGCCGCCGGGAAUACUGCAAAGCUAGGGAGUGGGAGAAGUAGACGGUACUCGGUAGGAAGUGGUAAAAUGCUUUGAUCUAUCGAUGACCACCUGUGGCGAAGGCGGUCUACUAGAACACGUCCGACGGUGAGGGAUGAAAGCUGGGGGAGCAAACCGGAUUAGAUACCCGGGUAGUCCCAGCUGUAAACUAUGCAAACUCAGUGAUGCAUUGGCUUGUGGCCAAUGCAGUGCUGCAGGGAAGCCGUUAAGUUUGCCGCCUGGGAAGUACGUACGCAAGUAUGAAACUUAAAGGAAUUGGCGGGGGAGCACCACAAGGGGUGAAGCCUGCGGUUCAAUUGGAUUCAACGCCGGA